UACGUAGGGUGCGAGCGUUAAUCGGAAUUACUGGGCGUAAAGCGUGCGCAGGCGGUUUUGUAAGCCGGAUGUGAAAUCCCCGGGCUUAACCUGGGAAUGGCAUUCGGGACUGCAAGGCUGGAGUGCGGCAGAGGAGACUGGAAUUCCUGGUGUAGCAGUGAAAUGCGUAGAUAUCAGGAGGAACACCGGUGGCGAAGGCGGGUCUCUGGGCCGAUACUGACGCUGAGGAGCGAAAGCGUGGGGAGCAAACAGG
rnacentral:rRNA from 1 species